UACAGAGGGUGCAAGCGUUGUUCGGAAUUACUGGGCGUAAAGCGCGUGUAGGCGGCGUCGUUAGUCGGAUGUGAAAGCCCUCGGCUCAACCGAGGAAGUGCAUCCGAUACUGCGAUGCUUGAGUGUUGGAGGGGGUGGCGGAAUUCCCGGUGUAGAGGUGAAAAUUCGUAGAUAUCGGGAGGAACACCUGUGGCGAAGGCGGCCACCUGGAC
rnacentral:rRNA from 1 species